CCUACGGGUGGCAGCAGUGGGGAAUAUUGGACAAUGGGCGGAAGCCUGAUCCAGCAACGCCGCGUGAGGGAUGACGGCCUUCGGGUUGUAAACCUCUUUCAGUACCGACGAAGCGACUCUUUUGGGGAGUGACGGUAGGUACAGAAGAAGCACCGGCCAACUACGUGCCAGCAGCCGCGGUAAUACGUAGGGUGCGAGCGUUGUCCGGAAUUAUUGGGCGUAAAGGGCUCGUAGGCGGUUUGUCGCGUCGGGAGUGAAAACGCCGUGCUUAACACGGCGCUUGCUUUCGAUACGGGCAGACUAGAGGUAUUCAGGGGAGAACGGAAUUCCUGGUGUAGCGGUGAAAUGCGCAGAUAUCAGGAGGAACACCGGUGGCGAAGGCGGUUCUCUGGGAAUGACCUGACGCUGAGGAGCGAAAGUGUGGGGAGCGAACAGGAUU
rnacentral:rRNA from 1 species